rnacentral:rRNA from 1 species
GAUGAACGCUAGCGGCAGGCCUAAUACAUGCAAGUCGAACGAGAUUAAGGAGCUUGCUCCUUAUGAAAGUGGCGCACGGGUGCGUAACGCGUAUGCAACCUACCUUAAUCAGGGGGAUAGCCCGAAGAAAUUCGGAUUAACACCGCAUAAAAACACAGGAUAGCAUUAUCCAAUGUUCAAAUAUUUAUAGGAUUAAGAUGGGCAUGCGUGUCAUUAGCUAGUUGGCGGGGUAACGGCCCACCAAGGCGACGAUGACUAGGGGAUCUGAGAGGAUGACCCCCCACACUGGUACUGAGACACGGACCAGACUCCUACGGGAGGCAGCAGUAAGGAAUAUUGGUCAAUGGAGGCAACUCUGAACCAGCCAUGCCGCGUGCAGGAAGACUGCCCUAUGGGUUGUAAACUGCUUUUAUCCGGGAAUAAACCUAAUUACGUGUAAUUAGCUGAAUGUACCGGAAGAAUAAGGAUCGGCUAACUCCGUGCCAGCAGCCGCGGUAAAAC